UAACCUGCCUGGUAGCGGGGGAUAACUAUUGGAAACGAUAGCUAAUACCGCAUAAUAGUAGAUGUUGCAUGACAUUUGCUUAAAAGGUAGCAAUUGCAUCACUACCAGAUGGACCUGCGUUGUAUUAGCUAGUUGGUGAGGUAACGGCUCACCAAGGCGACGAUACAUAGCCGACCUGAGAGGGUGAUCGGCCACACUGGGACUGAGACACGGCCCAG
rnacentral:rRNA from 1 species